rnacentral:pre_miRNA from 1 species
AAAAAGACAAACUCUGUUUUCCGUAUCCAACAUUUGACCGUCCGUCGUAUUUAAAAAAAUAUAAAAAAAAUUAAAAUGAUAAGUCACGCAUAAAGUAUUAAUCAUGUUUUAUCAUCUAACAACAAUAAAAAUACUAAUUAUAAAAAAAAUUAUAUAAGACGGACAGUCAAACGUUGCCACGGAAACCCAAUGUUUGUUUUUUU